GCGGAUGUGGUGGAAUAGCUAGACACGGGGGACUCAAAAUCCCCUGCCGAAAGGCGUGUGGGUUGGAGUCCCACCAUCCGCA
rnacentral:tRNA from 1 species